rnacentral:rRNA from 1 species
UAGUCCACGCCCUAAACGAUGAGCGCUAAAAGUGGGUUUUUAUCUGCUUUGUAGCUAACGCGUUAAGCGCUCCGCCUGGGGACUACGGUCGCAAGACUAAAACUCAAAGGAAUUGACGGGGAUCCGCACAAGCGGUGGAGUAUGUGGUUUAAUUCGAUGCAACGCGAAAAACCUUACCACAUCUUGACAUGGAAGUCGUACCUUCGUGAAGGCGAAGGGUCGGUUCGGCCGGACUUCACACAGGUGUUGCAUGGCUGUCGGCAGCUCGUGCUGUGAGGUGUUGGGUUAAGUCCCGCAACGAGCGCAACCCCUAUCCCUAGUUACCAGCGGUUUUGCCGGGAACUCUAGGGAAACUGCCAGUGACAAACUGGAGGAAGGUGGGGACGACGUCAAGUCAUCAUGGCCCUUAUGAUGUGGGCUACACACGUACUACAAUGGUGGUUACAAUGAGCUAAGCUACGUCGCGAGGCGGUGCUAAUCUCCUAAAAGCCAUCCCAGUACGGAUUGCUCUCUGCAACUCGAG